UACAUGAUACUCUCCCGUUCGGCGUGUGUGAUACAUACACUUCACAGGGCAAGGAGGCUCAAUCCAGGCUCCGACCAGUUUCAGAAAUAAGUCUGAGCAGCUUUGUCCUGUGAGAAACCCAUUUCAUCAUCAGCAGCAUGUCUUGGAAGGCAAGAAGCUAUCAGUAUUGCUGCCAUCCUUGGCAUCCCAUGUACACUAAAAGAAAAAAUCUGCAAUAUGUUGAUUCUGGGUGAUGAAGAUGGGGGGACAGCUUGGCCUGUCAUUGAGGGUAAUGACAACAGACUUGAGGACUGCACUUCAUUUGACGUGAUCAUUGAUGGGUUGGCUGUCAGCAGCUCCACUUGUCUCCUGACAUCGGUGAAAGUGUAUUUAGCCAGCUUUUAUGUUUUCAAUUUGGCUUAUCCCACAUGCCUCAGGAAAACUUUGUCUUUUUUCCAGAAAAUUGUCCUGAACAUCCAAGACAAUAUUCCUCUCGACCGCAGUGUUAUAUCUUGCCUUGACAAACUGAAUAGGUACAUUUGACUGUGACCAUUUUUCUUGGUUAAAGCAAUGUGUUACUAACAUAAACCAAGUAACUGCAUUUGUCUCAGUAGUUCCUCUUGAUCAAAGCAUUGUGUCUUACUAGAUAAACAAGUUACAUGUACAUAUACUGCAUUUGACUCAGUAUGUUCCCCUCGAUCAGAUCAUUGUGUGUUUAUACUAAAGUAAACCAAGUUAAGCUGCAUUUGACUCAUCAGUAUUUUUCCUCUUGAUAAACGCAUUAUGUCUUACUAUGAACAAGUUUUACUGCAUUUGACUUAGUAUGUUCCUCUCAAAGUAUUGUGUCUUACUAAAAUAAACCAAGUUAAACUGCAUUUCACUUAAUUAGCAUGUUCCUCUUGAUCAAAGCAUUAUGUCUUGUUAAGAUAAACUGAAUAUUCUUCUUAAAGGUACAUUACAGGAUUGAUAAGGAUCACUCAAAUACUUUAAUUGUUGAAUUUCUGUUUGAAAGCUUAAUGGUUAUGAAGUUAGUACUAGGACUGUGAAAUGUUUCCCCCUGAAAUAAGGGCAUAUUCGAAAAAACUACCU